rnacentral:rRNA from 1 species
CCUGGCUCAGGAGUGAACGCUAGCGGCAGGCUUAACACAUGCAAGUCGAGGGGCAGCGCGGAUAGCAAUAUCGUGGCGGCGACCGGCGGAAGGGUGCGUAACGCGUGAGCAACUUGCCCGUAUCUGGGGGAUAGUCAUUGGAAACGAUGCGUAAUACCCCAUAACAACAGAGGCUGCAUGACCUUUGUUUGAAAGCUACGGUGGAUACGGAUAGGCUCGCGAGACAUUAGCUAGUUGGAGUGGUAACGGCACACCAAGGCGACGAUGUCUAGGGGUUCUGAGAGGAAGGUCCCCCACAUUGGAACUGAGACACGGUCCAAACUCCUACGGGAGGCAGCAGUGAGGAAUAUUGGUCAAUGGCCGGAAGGCUGAACCAGCCAUGCCGCGUGCAGGAAUAAAGGGCCCUAUGGGUCGUAAACUGCUUUUGUGGUGGAGCAAUAAGACGUACGAGUACGUCGAUGAGAGUACAUCACGAAUAAGCAUCGGCUAACUCCGUGCCAGCCGCCGC